rnacentral:rRNA from 1 species
GAUGAACGCUAGCGAUAGGCUUAACACAUGCAAGUCGAGGGGAAACGACGGGGAAGCUUGCUUCCCCGGGCGUCGACCGGCGCACGGGUGAGUAACGCGUAUCCAACCUGCCUCUGACUGAGGGAUAACCCGUCGAAAGUCGGCCUAAUACCUCAUGGCAUCGUCUGCGGGCAUCCAACGACGAUUAAAGAUUUCAUCGGUCAGGGAUGGGGAUGCGUCUGAUUAGCUUGUUGGCGGGGUAACGGCCCACCAAGGCUACGAUCAGUAGGGGUUCUGAGAGGAAGGUCCCCCACAUUGGAACUGAGACACGGUCCAAACUCCUACGGGAGGCAGCAGUGAGGAAUAUUGGUCAAUGGGCGAGAGCCUGAACCAGCCAAGUAGCGUGCAGGAUGACGGCCCUAUGGGUUGUAAACUGCUUUUAUGCGGGGAUAAAGUGAGGGACGUGUCCCUCAUUGCAGGUACCGCAUGAAUAAGACCG